rnacentral:rRNA from 1 species
AUUGAACGCUGGCGGCAUGCCUUACACAUGCAAGUCGAACGGCAGCACGGGAGCAAUCCUGGUGGCGAGUGGCGAACGGGUGAGUAAUAUAUCGGAACGUGCCCAGUAGUGGGGGAUAGCCCGGCGAAAGCCGGAUUAAUACCGCAUACGACCUGAGGGUGAAAGCGGGGGAUCGCAAGACCUCGCGCUAUUGGAGCGGCCGAUAUCGGAUUAGCUUGUUGGUGGGGUAAAAGCCUACCAAGGCGACGAUCUGUAGCUGGUCUGAGAGGACGACCAGCCACACUGGGACUGAGACACGGCCCAGACUCCUACGGGAGGCAGCAGUGGGGAAUUUUGGACAAUGGGCGCAAGCCUGAUCCAGCCAUGCCGCGUGCGGGAAGAAGGCCUUCGGGUUGUAAACCGCUUUUGUUAGGGAAGAAACGGCUCUUGCUAAUAUCGAGAGCUAAUGACGGUACCUGAAGAAUAAGCACCGGCUAACUACGUGCCAGCAGCCGCGGUAAGAC